UUUUCAGUGCUGGGCAGUAGCGAAGGCGACUAGUUUAAUUACAUUCCCUAGUAGCUUGGUCGUAGCGUCACUACUAUGUAUCGAGUAACGUCCCUGUAGUUAAGCUAUUUUUCCUCAAGUAGCGACGUAGUCUACAAAAGCUACAAUUUGUCCCGCAUCGAUGUUACUCAAUGAUUUUUGUUUUACUUUCUCUAUCCUGAAACCUAGGCAGUCACACAGGGGUUCCAAGACCCACCUGCGUGAAAUCAAGUCAAAGGCUGCUGUCUCAUAAUAUGGCGAAGACGAGUAACUUGAAGGCCUAACUGCUCUUAUGAGGAGCAGUCUCGCCAUAGAAGACUGAAAGAAUUGUCCUGCAGGAUGCUGUGUCCUGCAAUCCUGUGUGCUGUGCUACAGACGCGUGUGGAGGUCAACCCGAAAUGGGCACAGUCUCACCACAGAAGAGUGAAAGAGGAUCCUGGCAGGGAGACAUAGUGCAUGAG